GUCCAGACGGUAGGAUAGCAGCGGCAUCCUUUUUAGGCAAACGAUAAUACUUAAUUAAACCGAAAAUAUUCUGCCUAAAAAGAUAUAGCGGAUAGCAGGAACCAGC
rnacentral:sRNA from 1 species